UGGGGAAUCUUGGACAAUGGGCGCAAGCCUGAAGCAGCAACGCCGCGUGAGGGAUGAAGGCCUUCGGGUUGUAAACCUCUUUCAGCAGGGACGAAAAAUGACGGUACCUGCAGAAGAAGCCCCGGCCAACUACGUGCCAGCAGCCGCGGUAAUACGUAGGGGGCGAGCGUUGUCCGGAUUUAUUGGGCGUAAAGAGCUCGUAGGCGGUUUGGUAAGUCGGGUGUGAAAGUCCGAGGCUCAACCUCGGGAAGCCACCCGAUACUGCUAUGACUGGAGUCCGGUAGAGGAGUGUGGAAUUCCUGGUGUAGCGGUGAAAUGCGCAGAUAUCAGGAGGAACACCAAUGGCGAAGGCAGCACUCUGGGCCGGUACUGACGCUGAGGAGCGAAAGCGUGGGUAGCAAACAGGAUUAGAUACCCCAGUAGUCCCUGAGCGGGCUGGCAAGGCGCAU
rnacentral:rRNA from 1 species